rnacentral:tRNA from 1 species
GAGCACCCUGGUGUAAUAGGUAGCACUCGUUAACGGCAAUGGCGAUGGCCGUGGUGUUGGUUCGAGUCCAGCGGGUGCUCU